UGGGGAAUUUUGGACAAUGGGCGAAAGCCUGAUCCAGCAAUGCCGCGUGUGUGAAGAAGGCCUUCGGGUUGUAAAGCACUUUUGUCCGGAAAGAAAUCCUUGGUUCUAAUAUAGCCGGGGGGAUGACGGUACCGGAAGAAUAAGCACCGGCUAACUACGUGCCAGCAGCCGCGGUAAUACGUAGGGUGCGAGCGUUAAUCGGAAUUACUGGGCGUAAAGCGUGCGCAGGCGGUUUGCUAAGACCGAUGUGAAAUCCCCGGGCUCAACCUGGGAACUGCAUUGGUGACUGGCAGGCUAGAGUAUGGCAGAGGGGGGUAGAAUUCCACGUGUAGCAGUGAAAUGCGUAGAGAUGUGGAGGAAUACCGAUGGCGAAGGCAGCCCCCUGGGCCAAUACUGACGCUCAUGCACGAAAGCGUGGGGAGCAAACAGGAUUAGAUACCCCUGGGUAGUCCACGCCCUAAACGAUGUCAACUAGUUGUUGGGGGAUUCAUUUCCUUAGUAACGUAGCUAACGCGUGAAGUUGACCGCCUGGGGAGUACGGUCGCAAGAUUAAAACUUAAAGGAAUUGACGGGGUCAUAGCUGUUUCCU
rnacentral:rRNA from 1 species